rnacentral:misc_RNA from 1 species
CUGGAGGACAAAGGCGCGGCCCAUGGCGGCCUCGGCCAUUCGCUCCUCGAGGUGGCGCGCCUCUCCGGCGAGCACCACCGGCGGGAACGUCUCGAUGGUCUUCAGCACCGCGUCCAGCUCCUCCGCGUUCGGGUACUCGGGAGCUGCAACGCCUUCUUCGACCUCCAGCUGUCAACCACCCACUUCCCGGGCGCCGCCGGCUUCUUCUCCGGUGUGGCCACCGCCGAGGAGGACGACUUGGCGCCUGCGGCCGCGGGGACCACGGGCCCGUUGUUCUUGGACGGGUCAGCUACGUGGAUGGUGGAGAUGGUACGCCUCUUCAGCGGGAGGAACGCGGCCGCGCGGCGCGGCUACGAUGCCGCGCCACCGGACACGGCCGUGGUGGCUGCGGCGGAGUUGGUGGCCAGCGCCAUUGCGAUUUGCGAGCGAGGGGUGCUAGAUGGGUAG